rnacentral:lncRNA from 1 species
CAUCUGCCAUGGUGGGUGGAUGAAAGACCCGAGCUAACAUGGGGUUAGCUCGUUAAAUUACAAUAAAGCCUCGUGCAGUUUGCAGCAAGCUCUCGAAUCCGCCUGGUGAUUGGGGUGACCGUGAAUGUGGCCUGGGACCCCGGAUACUUGAGUUUUCGGGGGGUCUAACAUUUGGGGGCUCGUCCUCGAUUUGCGACCACCCUUCACCUGAGUGGAUACGAUCUUGGAGUCUUUGCUGAAGGAAAUAACAUAGGUUUCUAGCAACUAUGAAUAAAGUCGCUAUGAACACAGUGAGGAAGCAUCCUUGAGUGUGGGAAGCCACAGCCCCAAGAUGGCGCCUGGCUGGAUGCCAGGGAGACUGAGCUUAGCUGUAAACAAGCCUUAUUUGGAAGCCUUAGUGGAUCUGAUGUGCCUCCUCCAGCUGUGACCUAUGCAGGAUCACCAGGUGCAUGAGCUAAUUGGGUAAUGAGCUUGCUUUUAAGGGGGGGAGGCUGGGAGAGGGAAGCUGAUGUACAAGAUUCCUAAAUAAACUACUUAAAAAAGAGUCAUGGUCGUGUUUCUCUUGCUGGUCGAGACAGACACGACACUUGUGGAAGGAUGGACAUUGCCUAGGGUAUAUGGACAGGGGUGGUUUGACUGGGUCUUGAGGUGUAUUGAUUUCCAAUUUCCUGAGAAACCACCAUAUUGAUUUCCAAUGUGAUUAUACAAGUUUGCACUCUUAUCACCAAUGGAAGAGUGCUCCCCUUGUUCCAUAUCCUUGCAAGCAUGAGCUGUCACCUGUGUUUUUGAUCUUAGCCAUUCUUAUAGGUAUAAAUAGAAUCUCAAAGUCAUUUUGAUUUUCAUUUCCCUAAUGGCUAAGGAUAUUGAACAUUUCUUUAUGUCUUUCUCAGCCAUUUUGGUUUCCUCUAUUGUGAAUUCUUUCUUUAAAUCUCUACCCCAUUUUAACUGGAUUAUUUAGUUGUUAAUGUCUACUUUCUUGAGUUAUUUAUAUAUUUUAGAUAUUAGCCCUCUCAGAUGUAGAGUUGUUACAAAUCUUUUCCCAUUCUCUGGACUGCUGUUCAGCCUCUGAAAAGUUCCUGCAAGGCAAAGGACACCAUUGAUAGAAAAAAAUGGCAUCCCAAACUGUAGAAGUGAAAAUCAUAUCCAUUAUUUUUCUCCCUCUGCUACAUUAAAGUUCAGUAAUCUUUUAAUGAUAAUGAGUCUAUAAUUUUCCAUAUUUGGUUUUUAACAAUACACACCAGUUAUUUGGAGAACCUGGUCUUUUAAUGAGUUGUGAAAAUCUUUAUUAAAAGCUUAAAUCUCUUGUGACCAUUAUUGAAAUUCUUUUAGUUCUUUUUUAAAUUUAAAUUAGAAAUAAUCUUGUUUAACAUGUCAAUCCCAUUUCCCUCUCACUCCCCUCUUCCCCUGCCCUCCACCUACCUCCUCUCCCAUCCCCUUUCUGCUCCUAGAAUAAACCAUCCUGAGUCAAGCAACCCAGUCACAAAAAGACAAACAUGGUACGUACUCACUCAUACAUGGAUUUUAGACAUAGAGUAAAGGAUUACCAGCCUACAAUCCACACCACCAGAGGAACUAGGGCACAAGGGAUACCCUAAAAGACACACACAUGGUCUCCAGGAGAAAGGGAAAGGGGCAAGAUAUCCUGAGCUACUUGGGAGCAUGGUGGGAGGGAUAGGGACUUAUGAGAAAGAGAAGGGGAGAAGAGGAGUAGGAGGAAGACAUGAGAAAGUGAGAAUGUGAGUCAUGAAAGAAUAAAGGAGAGAAAGACCAUAGAUACUAUACUAGAGGGUGCCAUUAUAGGUUUAAAGAUAAAUCUGGCACUAGGAAAAUGUCCAGAGAUCUACAAGGUUGACUCCAACUAACAAUCUAAGCCUAUAGUCAACAGGUUCUACCUUAAAUGCCCUUCUAUGAGAUUGAUGACUACCUUAUAUACCAUCGUAGAGCCUUCAUCCAGUAGCUGAUGGAAGCAGAAGCAGACUCCCACAGCUAAACACUGAGGUAAAAAGCUCAAAUCUUUUCAUUAGUGAUAAAAAUUAUUUGUUGCUAUUUUCAAGAAAUUGUAUGAGUUCAUUCAUUUUGAGGAAAUGUCUGAUUUUCACCCACACAUUUUUAAGUGAAAAUAUUUUAUAACACAUGAUUUUUGAUGUAAAUAAAAAAAUAGUGCUUUUUGUCGAGGCAUCCAUGGUAAUUUAUCAAGCAGCAAGGGCAUCUUUUCCAUAAAUUCCCUUUCAACACAUCACAUAGAAUACAAAGGAGGCAUGAGAUCAGCUGUUGAUAUUUAAUAAACCAAUAGUCUUUUGUGUUAUAUCAAUGGCACUGCUUAAUAUAACUGGCUGUGCUUUCCCUGUGCUGUAGAGUGGUAAACAACACAAGGUCCUAGUAACCCAGGGUUUAUGUUGAUUCACUCUGAAAUACAAACAGUUUGAAUCACAGAUGCUAUUACAUCCUCAGCAUAAAUGUCAUCUCUUUGAAACAUGGACAAGAAUCCUUUGAUAUUAAACCUCUAAAUAUUUUAAAGAAAUCUUUGAGUUCCACAUAGCAUAGCAUGUGAUAUUGCAUGUAAAGACUCAAAUCUUCCUCCCCAUUUCAUUUGCAUCCAUUUAAACAAAGCUUGGUUAAAACUGACAAAAGCUCAAUAAAUCUUAUGCUUUCUCAGUUGGAUACACAAAAUUAUAUUACUGAAGAAACUAAAAUGAAGAAUAUAACUUGCUAUUCAAAUAAAAGUCACUACAAAUAUUGGUCUGUGCUUUUUAGAUAAAAGCUAACAAGUAGAUUUUAUUGGCUUUGUAGUAAGUAAAUCGUUUAAAGUUUCUUGUUUAUAGAAUAACCAAUGCAAGGAUGAAUAUUUAAUUGUCUAUGGAUAGACUAAUGCUCUUGCCCAUGGUAAAAAAAAAAUAGAGCCAUCUGGAUAGGGCUAUUGAUUACUUGCCUUUCUUAGAAGCUGGCAAAACAAUUCUGAUACUAUGAGAGCUAGUACUCAGAGAAGAGGCUUCUAGUUCAGUACCCGCUUGACAUCUCCUGUAUCUUCACAUGUGAUAUCUUCAGCAGUACAGACUUACCUUCUAGGUUCAGUGGUCAAAUAAAAACAAUGGCAUUAUUGUUUGGGGUUGUCUAAGCAACAACUUGAAGGGAUUAUUUGUAUUAUUUUACACUGAGAUUUGCUAGACAAAAUGUAGCACUUUGGAGGAGAAACAUCGCUUCACAGAGAGUAGCUUCCCUUAAACUGUAUAUGUAUAUAAUAUGUGGAUGCAUAGGUUUAUGGUAAGCAUACAAAAUAAUGCUACCUUGUGGCAUUUUCAAACAUCCUUAACAUUAUAUACUCCUCUUUUCUACCUUUCCCUAUGUGUUAUCCUCCCUCCAUUAGCCACUAGGUCCAGCCCAGCAACAUAUCCCCCAUUGUAGAAAAGUGGCACUUUUUACAGGUGGGUGUUAAUUGUGUGAUGAUUAAGCAUCUUCAAGCAUUGUUUCAAAUGCCCACCCAAAGUAAAAUUUCUAGUCUUCAUAACCCCACCAAAAUUACUUUGUAAGAGUUAAGUAGUGAAUUUCUGAAGAAGAAUUUAAUUUACUCUGCCUAUUCUAGUAUCUUCUCUGGUGAACUGAUGUUUGUGAGGAAAACAACUGAACAGUAGCCCCUUACUUAUGUAAUAUUGGUCCUUGAAAAGGGUGCUUUAGGCACUUUUGUAUUAAGUAUAUUACAAGUAAGUAUGUGACUUUUACUUUGAUAGAAUUUAUAAAAGAUCUGUAAUCCUCUAGGUGACUUGAAAAGGAUGUGCUGUUCAGAUAUAUGAUCACAUAAUAGCCUCACAGACAUUAGGAGGGCAAGGCUUUUAGUUGGCUAUCAUUCUGUGGAUUUUGAUGUCUGUCCUAAGUCAGGUAACAUCCAGAUUCAGUAGCAUCUUGAUGUUCUCCACUACAAAAUACCAUGUCUUGAGGCAUCUUAUUAUUUUUAAGCCAACAAAAUACAGCUAGUGUGCAUAUAUGACCAUUAAAUAUAAGUUGGGUCACUAUGCACAGUGUAUGUGGCAUUUGUGUGCAUUUUCAAAAUAGAAUGAUCACUAACUUCCUCUCUGAAAUUCAAUGUCUAUAAUUAGCUUUCAGUUUUCUUAGUAACUUUGAUAUUGUUUUCCCGUUUACAUGGAGAUUUGAGUUAAGCAGCUUGAGGCAACAGUGCCUAGGGAGGAAUGAUCACAUUCAGAUAACACCUUUACCAUAAGCUGUGCUAUCUGGGUAACUCACUGCUUUUCUGCUCUGACCUCCUCUAUGAAAUGAGGCUGCUGCCCUGGAUGUGCCUUUCCAAUUCCAUGACCUAAAUUUCAUUCCUAAAAUAAGUGGCUAUGGUACCUUGUAUAUUAAUGUUUAAAUACAUUCCAUUAGGGUUUAUUUAUGCUUCUCCUUCUUAUAAGUAAACACUAUUUCUCUAUGUUGGCAUGUUUAUUUACCCUCAUACAUGACUCAGGAUUUUGCUAGAUGAUGAUGAAUAUGAUAAGGAUGAGAAGACUAAUUUGGUCCAAAGAUGCUGUCUCAUCUCCAGAAAGAUCAAGGUUUACAUAUAUAAAUAUGAUCAUACAUACAUACAUACAUACAUACAUACAUACAUACAUGUUUGUAUUUGUAAGACAAACAAAACACAACAGUGCUUUCCAUCUUCAUUAGAAAUUUAAACUUAUAAAUAUUUGCCUCUGCUUUUCUCCAUUCAUGAUAAUUACCUGUUUCUAAAUAAUGGCAUGCGGUAUAUAUAUUGAACACUAUCAAUAUUCUACUAUGCCAUUGUGGAUUACUGUGAUGAGAUUUUGAAUAUACAUGUGCUUCCCAGAGACAUGAUUGAAGACAAGAACUUCUUUUAGUGCACAAGAUGAAUAAUAAAUGUAUCUUUCUUAUUAAAGAAUUUUAAUUAUACUCGUGAGUGUAUGUGUAUGCAAGUGUGUAUGGGGCGGCAGUUUAUGUUAAUGCUGUGGCACCAGUGGGCAGGUUAGAAGACAACUUAGAGAGUAGAUUCUCUCCUUCUACCAUGUUGGUUCAGGAAUUGGGGUCAGGACAUCAGAUUUGGUGAAAAUUGACUUUAUUUGCUAAACCAUCUCACUAGCACAGUGUUUUAGCUAAUAGAUGUCUGGCAUAGGGAAUGCCUAUGGAUAUUGAUAUUCAGAGUUUAAGGUGUGAGAAGGAAACAUAUUUUAGUCUAGUACUAGAUGUUUCUGCAUUAAUUUCUUAGUGUUGUUGUAACAAAUUAGCACAAGUAGAUGAUUGUGUUCAGCAGAAUUCUUUUCUCAAUAUUCUAGAGACUUCAAAAUGUCAGUGCUGAACUCUUUCCAUGAUUCUAUAGGGUAAUACUUCCAUGUCUCAUCCAGCUCUACUGGCAUCAGGAGUCCAUGCUCAUCACUCCAAUCAGGUCUUCAUCUUCUGUGGCCUUGCUGUGCCAUUUCCUCCAACCUCAAGCCUAUCUGUGCCAUUAUAAAAUAAUGAGCAUUAAGUGGUUGUCAUUAGAAUUAGUGAUUGAUAGUUGAGAAUGAUAUCUUCUUGUGGCUUCUAAUUAUGUUUGCAAACACUGCCACAGAUAAUAGAAAUUAAGCCACAACUUUUAAGGUUUGAGCAAGGUUGAUAUUUAUUUUUGUAUAGCUACCAUUCAAGGCAUUAAAUGAUAUACAAAUGUGCUCUAUAAAACUGCUAGUUUAUCACUCUAUAUGCCACCUAUGUCUAAUGAGAGGGAGAGACAUUUCCAGAGAUAAAGGCCUAUUAUAUACACCAUUGUAUCCCCAAGGCUAAGCCCAUUUUCUGCAAGACAAAUACAACACAAUCUACUUAAUAAGUUGUUUUGAUACCUUCAACCUGAAAGCUGUAUCAUUAUUUAUGUUUUUCAAAGAUUUUUAAUGCCAAUUGGCUCCGCUCUCUCAUUCUUACUCAUACAGUUGAAGGAUGAAGUGUAAGGAUCUUGCUGUGGAAUGUGCCACAUUAAAGAGUUAAGGUUUAGUUCUAUUUCUUAGAGAAUUUGAGAAAUGUGCAUGGCGAUCUCUGAUCUACCUUUAUUGAAGGGCUUAUCCCUUGUAACUCUCUUUAUAUUUUAUAAACACACAAUAGUGUUGUGAAAGGAAUCCUUUUGUCUCUCUUCUCUGAUGUAGUAGGGAUCCCGAAAUUCAAAUUAUAUUUAACAAGUUGUUUUUGUAAACACAUCUAGACAGUGUUGCAUACAACUUGCACAUUCUCCAAUCUCUAACACUAGAUCUUUCUUAUUGCAAUUUCCAAUUCAUUUUUCAACACUGUGGAAGCUGAUAAUAGAGCAAAUAUCCUCAAAAUGUUUCCAUACACAUAAAAAGUUCAAAAUUGAAGUUGUUACCAUUAUUUGUAAUAGAUAGAACCUGGAAGCAAACUAGAUGCCCCUCAACUGAAGAAUGGAUAGAGAUAAUGUGGUACAUUUACACAAUUGAGUACUACUCAGCUGGGGGAAAAAACAAUGGAAUCUUGAAAUUCAAAGGCAAAUGGAUGGAACUAGAAGAAACCAUUCUGAAUGAGAUAACCCAGUCACAAAAAGACAAACAGGCCUUCACACAGCAGCUGGUGAAAGUGGAAGCAGACACCCACAGCUAAACACUGAACUGAACUGGAAUCCAGUUUCAGAUGAAGAGGAGUGAUGAUCAAAGUGGUCAACACCAAGCUGAUGAAACCCACAGAAACAGCUGACCUGAACAAGGGGGAACUCUUGGUUCCCAGACUGAUAGCUGGAAAACCAGCAUGGGACUGAUCCUGACCCAAUGAACGUGGGUGUCAGUGAGGAGACCUGGGAAAUGUAUGGGGCCUUUUGUAGUAGAUCAUUACUUAUCCCUCGAAUAGGAAUGGACUUUGGGAGCCUAUACCACAUAGAGGGAUACUCCCUGAUCUAGACACAAGGGUGUGGGCUUAGGCUCUAUCCCAAAGGAUAUGACAGACUCUGAAGACCCACUGUGGAAAGCAUCACCUUCCUGGGCAGCAGAAAUGGUAUGGGAUAGGUAGGAGGUUAGUGGGGGAAGCAGGGGAGGAGGGGAGGCAGAGGGAACUGUGGUUGACAUGUAAAAUAAUCUUGAUUCUAAUUAAAAUAAAAAUGUAAAGAAAGAAAGAAAAAACACAAUUGGAGCUAUUAGGAAAUGUAGACAGAGCCACAAACAAAGGGAGUUUAUUACAUUUACUGGUUGACCUACAAGGAGUUGUGUUCUGAUGUAGGAAGGAAAAAAAUCUUUCACUUAUGGUGUAUGAAAUUGAGCAAAACAACAUUGCUUUAAACAGUAAUUGAGUUUUCUUAUGUAAGAAAAACAUUCCCUCUGAUUUAGCAGGUUAAUUGAAUUUGAUUCCUCCAUUUUUGCUUGUGUCUUUCCAUUUGUGCUGAAAUUUGACAGUUACCAGUUUUAUGCUGAGAGAGAUACAAUCACUAGGAUGUAUUUCAAAAACCUUUGAAUUCUCUGUCAUUAAAAGUAAACAUGUAUAUGCUUUCUACCAUUCUUCUUUCCCCCUCCACCCCACUCACAUGGAUUGUUGAAUCCUAGCCUAAGCUGUGGAUGAUGUUGAUCCCACCUGUGAAUUGCUCAGUAUUCCAUUAGCCAGCAGUUUCUGAGGACUUUUUAGAAAUACAAAUUCAUUAGCUCCAUCCACACUUAUUGAACUGGAAACUAUAGGUAAUAUCAGACCAUCAGUUCUACAAAGCCCUUCUGGGCACUUUAAUGUAGGCUUGAAUGUGACGGCCACUGGGAGAUUGCCUUCCACAAUCCUCAAGUUGAAUGGUCCUAUUCUCUCACAGAAUUUCUUUCUUUCUUUUGUUUUUGGAAGCAGACUUUUUUAAAAUUUAAAUCAGAAACAAGCUUGUUACCAAUGUCAAUCCCAAAUUCCUCUCCCUCCCCUCCUUUCCUGCCUCUCCACCCACCCCACAUCCCAUCCCCUCUCAGCUCACCAGGGAGGAUGAGGCCUUCCAUGGGUGACUUUCAAAGUCUGUCAUAUCAUUUGGAGCAAUGCCUAGACCCUCCACCAUAUGACUAGGAUGAGAGAGUAUCCAUCUAUGUGGAAUGGACUCCCAAACUCCACUCAUACACCAGGACCAAACACUGAUCCACUACUUCCCCUUCUCCUGCUCCCCCCCCCACCUUCUUCCACCGUACCCCCAUCAACUUCUCAGAGAGAGUAAGGUUUCCCAUGCAGAGUUAACAAAGUCUUCCAUAUCACUGUGAGGCAGGACAAAGGCCCUCCCCCUAUAUCUAGGCUGAGAAAGGAAUCCUUCCAAAGAGAAUGGGCUCAUUUAUCUUUGGAUCAAUCCUGGUCUCACUGCCAGUAGCCCCACAGACUGCCCCAGCCAUACAACUCUCACUUGACUAGGGAAGACCAGCUCCAAGGACCCACAACCAGGUGGCUCUCUAUGGUCCAAUCAGAAGCAAGAGAGAGUGAGCUAUCAUCAAGGACCCCAGACCUAGCCUUCCCAGUCACAUCUGCACCUAUGACCAUGCCUAAAUGGGCAUGGUCAGUGCACCAGGUGUGGGCAAGGGGGAUCUCUCACUACAAUCCCCCUUUUAGUGUAAAGAAAAAAAUUAGACUUAGUAAAAAGCUAUAUACAAAGAUAGCAAAUAUCAAGUUAUACAGUAGGAGAAGGAAAAGUAAGAAUAUACACCCUUAAAACCUAUUGCCAUUGAAGCAACAAGUGUAAAAUGGGAAGAGCUACAGUCAUCCACAUUCAGGGGGCCUAUUUUGGUCCUAUGCAGGUUCCCCUGCUCUCAGUCCAUAAUCAGUGAGUUCCAACUCGCUCAGGUCAGCUGUUUCUAUGGGUAUCCCCAAAAUAGUCUUGACCCCUUUGCUCAUAAUAUUGCUCCUACCACUAUUUGGACUCUGGGAGCUCAUCCCAGGGCUUCCAUGGCUCUGUCUUUUAUUUUAUUUUUAAAUUUUUUUUA